AGUCGUGUUGGUCGAUUGGGAAGCUCAUCAAUUAAAAAAUGACCGAGACAAGCUUUUGAUUCUAAUGGCGGGCCACACCUUCGGGUUGCUUAGCGCGGUGGAUUACAAAGGGAUCGAAGCACUCAAAUCCUGUUUUACGGAGUUUCGGUAUAUCCACCAAUACGACUUUCUAU
rfam:Dysgonomonas mossii DSM 22836 genomic scaffold supercont1.3, whole genome shotgun sequence.